rnacentral:rRNA from 1 species
AUGUUUCUCUGCCUCCAUCCAACUAGGGCUCUUUUGUGUGUGCAGGACAAUCCCAACGAUUGUCCAUUCAUUUCAUCCGUCGUGUACAUCUUGGAGAACGGAAGUGCCAAACUUCAUGUCCCGAACCAACCGGUAUAUUCUGCACCUACGAAUAGCAAAGUAGAGCAUGCAACAGGCAAUACUCAAAAUUCAAAGAAUAUGCCAACUUACAGUUCUAGAGAGAAGAUAGGCCAGUUAUCACAUUACAAGAUAUUUUGUAUAGGGGGGCUCAGAUCAGAUAGUUGCAAAGGUGGUUGGUUAUGGGUGUACAUUCCAUUUCCAGCUCCAUUAGGCUUUGUUCGGUUACACCUCCUCACAGCGGGAUUGGGGUGGAUUGGAGGAGGUUUUGACUUGUGGAGGGUGCAAUCCCUGCCAAUCCCUGCCAAACCCCUCCAUUUUCCCUGUCAACCGAACAGGCCCUUAUUCAUGUUGCUAACCCUCUUUCUUUUUAUACUCCAUUGUUCAUGCUCCUAA